GACCAAAGGUCUGGAGACCUCUUCCUCCUCCUCAGUCUCAUUCUUCCUUUUUCCACCAAUUUUCUCCCUCUUCUGAUUUAAAACAUUAGUUUUUAGUUAUACACGUAACAUAUGAAGACAUUCGCAUUUGCAAAAAAUUAAAGCGUGACAGAAAAGACUGCCCCCCAGCCCCAUCCCAAUCCCCCUCAGGGGAAACCACAGUGACUGGUUCCGUGUGAGCCUGUCCCCACUGUCUACAUACAUGUUCUCCUCUAGAAAAAAUAGAGUUGCUUUUUUUGGGGGGGGGGCAUUUAAAAUAUAAAUGCUAUUUACUAUGCACAGGUUUCACCAACAGGCUUUUUUGCCCAAUCAUAAGUCUUAGAACUUUUUCCAUGAACAUGUUGACGUGUGGCCGUGGCAUGUGGGAGCUGGCUUGUACCGGCUUGUACUGUCUCAUACCGGUUUGUACCGGCUCAUACUGGCUUGUACCGGCUUGCAAGAGCUGAUCGUGGGCAUCUCUUCCCAACUCUGUCCAGUGAUGGCACGUUGGUAGCUUGAAAUUGGCCUUGGUGGUAGUAUUUACGUCAUAGAAAUCGGCAAAAGCUACAGUUUGGGAAUUCUUUCCCUCAGAGAGGCAGUUUGCCCUCACAGCACACACAGGAUGUUCCCUAUUUUAAAAACCUGCCCCAGAGGACAUUCCAGAACACGGUGCGUGUGGCUGAUCGGCACUCCUCCUGGCCCAACAUGGAGGCUGUUUUCCUUUUCUCUGUGGCAGAUGAAGUUGCCGCAAGGACCUGUGCUCAGUCCUCCCCUUCUGCCUGUUUAUCUUCUUCGGCGUCUGGGGAAUUUGUCCGCAGCAGCCCCCAUCUUUGGAGCACUUGGUUUCCCACAGCUGGCACCAGCGGCAGCUUUUUUGGACGACUCCUCUUAGGCUCCAGGAGCUUCUCUCCCGACAGGCCUGCUUGAGUGUGCCAGCCCAGCUUCCUCGCUUCCGGGAGGGAC
rnacentral:lncRNA from 1 species